rnacentral:rRNA from 1 species
GCACAGGUGCUGCAUGGCUGUCGUCAGCUCGUGUCGUGAGAUGUUCGGUUAAGUCCGCUAACGAGCGCAACCCUCACUGUGUGUUAUACGUGUCACACGGGACUGCCGGUUUUAAGCCGGAGGAAGGUGGGGAUGACGUCAAGUCAGCAUGGCCUUUAUAUCCUGGGCUACACACACGCUACAAUGGUCGGUACAAUAGGUUGCCGAGCCGCGAGGCGGAGCCAAUCCAUAAAGCCGGCCUCAGUUCAGAUUGUAGGCUGCAACUCGCCUGCAUGAAGAUGGAGUUGCUAGUAACCGCAGGUCAGCAAUACUGCGGUGAAUACGUUCCCGGGUCUU